GACGAACGCUGGCGGCGUGCUUAACACAUGCGAGUCGAACGCUGAAGGCCUGGCUUUUGUUGGGUUGGAUGAGUGGCGAACGGGUGAGUAACACGUGAGUAACCUGCCCUCUUCUUUGGGAUAACGCCCGGAAACGGGUGCUAAUACUGGAUAUUCACUGAUCUUCGCAUGGGGGUUGGUGGAAAGGUUUGUUCUGGUGGGGGAUGGGCUCGCGGCCUAUCAGCUUGUUGGUGGGGUGAUGGCCUACCAAGGCUUUGACGGGUAGCCGGCCUGAGAGGGUGACCGGUCACAUUGGGACUGAGAUACGGCCCAGACUCCUACGGGAGGCAGCAGUGGGGAAUAUUGCACAAUGGGCGAAAGCCUGAUGCAGCGACGCCGCGUGAGGGAUGGAGGCCUUCGGGUUGUAAACCUCUUUCGCUCAUGGUCAAGCCGCAACUGUGGGUUGUGGUGAGGGUAGUGGGUAAAGAAGCGCCGGCUAACUACGUG
rnacentral:rRNA from 1 species